rnacentral:lncRNA from 1 species
UUCCUCCUUGUACCUUGGCUUGAAAUAUUCGCCAACCCUUCUUCCUACCCCUCUUAGGGAAGAUUUCUAACCCCUUUGAGUUUGUAAAAUUGACCCUUCUCCUAGUUAUUUUUAUUCCUCUCUUUGGUGUCAUUGGGUGUGAUACCAUUAGAGGGAUUCUGGUUUGGGUCCUUUCAUCCAAGCAAUUUCAUGGAGGUUCAUGAUCUCAAUCAUGGAGAUCAAGGGCAUCAUAAGAGGUAUGUUUUCUUACUUUUGUUUUAGUUUUCUAGGGUUGAUGUAAUUAUCAUGAAGCCAUAGAUCCAUAGGAUGCAUGUACACUUAGGUAUAUCGUUGUUUCGAUUUUUCCGCUACCUAGUUUUAGAGUGUAUUUGAUGCGUAGAAUACCCAACAGUGGUAUCAGAGCCAUUGGUUUAUGGUUACUUUCACCCUAGAUCCAUGUUUUCUGUAAAAACUUGUUUGAAACUGAAUGGAAGAAGAAUAAUUGAAAAAUCUGUAAUGUGAUAAAACCCUAGUCGCAGCUCACGACGUGGACUUAGGAGUUCACGACGUGAGCUCAGCAGAACUUAGGGUUUCGGAUUUUUUUUCCAUUUUUCGAAUAUGUAGCUUUGAUAAACAUGGAUAAAUACCUAAAUUUAAAUUGUUUUUGAAUUUGAAAAAUGGAUAAAUAUUAUUUAAAUAUGUUUAUUUGAAUUUGAAUAUUUAUCUGAUAAUUGAUAAAGAUUAUUUAAAUGUGUUUAUUUGAAUUUGAAUAUUUAUCUGUUAUUUGAAUAGUGAAUUUAAAUAUUUAAUAUUUUUAUAAUACAGAUUUAUAAAUUUGAAUAUUACACCCUUAUGAUUUAUUAAUUGUUACAAUGCGCCCUCGCAAUUAAUUAGAAUUAAUAAUAGACAACUAAAUUUAAAGAGUUUUAAAUUUACCCCUUGUAUUUAUAUAUAUUAGAAUUGUGUCUACUAUAUGUAUAAGAAAGUUACAGCAUGCGUCCUCGCACGUUUAAAUAUUGACAUGGUCAGUCUUACCGUGACUAGGCUCACCCAUUCUAAUGUAGGGGUCUCAGGAGGUCUCUUUGAUUCCUAAUGAGGUUGGUUUUUAAUAUGCUUUGCGCUUACCACCCUCACCACCCUAUUGCAUUUUGAGAAUGGAGUUACCGAAAGGUUUGAUAGUGAUAAUGGUCAAUCUAAAAGUAUUCUAAAUACAAGUACAAAACAAAAUCCCGUUUUAUUAAUAGAAUGUGAGUUGAUAUUAUCCAUGAAAAAUGCACAUUCUCUUUAUAUUCUGUUGGUCGAGCUCGUGUGGUUAACCGACACAUCAAUCUAGAAUAUAGUUGAGAAUGAUAUGGAACUCACAAAAUUGAUUCUAACAUUUGAAUAAGGUGUAUUAUUUUGAAUAUCUGUUGAUGUUAGUUCAACUAAUGGAUCGUUCAGAUUGACCAUAAUAGUUCAAAACUGAUUUGAACAUUUGAAUAAGGUGUAUUAUUGUGAAUAUCUGUUGAUGUUAGUUCAACUAAUGGAUCGUUCAGAUUGACCAUAAUAAGUACUUAUUCAUAUACAUCCAAAUGUUUGGGUGAAAUGUAUUUGUGGAAUCAUAGUAUUGGAUAAAUAAAUGAGAAAUGCAUUACCAAGUAUACAGAUGGAACAGAUUUUGGAUAUCAUUUGACCUCGAGUCUUAUUAUAAUUGCAAAUCUUGUUUAUCAAGAUAGAUGAUGAAUGCGUCACUAGAUGAUGUGAGUAUCUGUUGGAAUUAGUUCACACUAAUGGACCGUUCAGAUUAACCACAAUACAUAUUGAGACCAACUUCGUAUAAAUGUGAGUCUGGAACCUUUCAGGUGUUCAAAGCUCUCAUAUAGUGAAGUUAAGAAUCAAUUGGGCAAUAGGAUGAGACACUCAUAGUGAGAAUCUCAGUCCAAAAUUUAUAGAUCAUCUAAGUGAUCGUGAAAGAGUUUCAUGAUCUAUCUCCGCCCAAAACACUACCACUAGGGAGUGUUAGUUGGAUAAAGAAACAAAUCGUUCAUUGAUUUUGUACUAGAUGAGUUGCAUUGUGCUUGCUAACAAUUUGUGGAUUGUACCAUGAAUAAUGUUACAAGAAGUCCUUUGUUCUUGUGCCAAUUAAGUAGGUUCAUGAAACACUCUAUGAUAUGUGAAGUGGGAUUUUAUCCUCAUUGCCAUAUAUGGAAGUCUACGAUUAUGAGGCUUACGCUCGUCGUGAAGCGCUCGACAAUCUAGGACUUUGCAUAGAGAUGUGUUAUCUCGUUGGUGAACCUAUCAAGCAUUUUGGAUAAUUGUUUAAUAAUCCUUAUGAGAGCAAAGUGUAUGUUGCUCGAAGGGUAGUCUUCUGAGAGAGAUAGAGCUGAUUUCCAAAAGGGCUAGUGGGAGCCACAUUGAUCUUGAUAAGAUUCAAGAUUCAACCAACAAAGAGCCUGAAGUUGGACAUAACAUUCAAUUUCGAAUUGAAAGAGCUAUUAAGGAAACUGACAUAUUUCCAUUUUUCCUUAUAGAUCUGAUAGAAGACAUCAUGGACCUAGUUAUAUAAGAGUUUAUAUUGCUAAGGUAUUUGAGUCACUGGCAGAUUGCAAUCAGAGUAUACCAGCUAUCAGAAGCUAUGGUAGGCCAUAAAGGCUACAACAUGGAAGGAAGACAUGGAAAGCGAGAUUCGGUCUGUGUAUGUUGAAAUUUGGUAGACCAAGCACUUGACCUUAACCCUUAGGUGCAAGUGGAUCUUCAAGUAAAGAAAAUUAUGGACAUAAACAAAUACAUAAUUAAACCAAGAUAGGUUUUGAAGGAUGUGUAAGCUUAAUAAGUUCAUUUAUGGACCGAAAUAAGCAUCUCACAAGUGGGAUCAUUAUUUCAAUGAGAAAGUUCAAGGAGUUUGAAUUUUGAGAAAUAAAGAUAAGCCAUAUAUAUGUCAAAGCUAGUGGGAGUAAUUGGAAUCUUUGUUUCAAUGAGAAAAGUUCAAGGAGUUUGAGUUUCGAGAAACAUAGAUAAGCCAUAUAUAUGUCAGUGCUAGUGGGAGCACUAUAGUCACCCUUAUAUUGUACAUAGACAAUGUACGAUUUAUAGGAAACUAUAUUCUAACUUAGCAGGUGUAAAAGCUUGGCUUGGUAUGAGAACUGUUUCGCUAUGAUAUACAUGGAAAUACAAGACACGUGCAUAAUAAGGAUCUAUGGAGAUAGAUCAAAGUGAUUCAUUGGAUUAAGCCAAAGUACAUGGAAUGUUGAGGAAACUCGAAAAGGAGUUUAGGCUUAUUAAAAUAUGGCAUGACAUUGAGUAAUACUAAUGUCUUGGUUCUACUAUUGAGCUAAAGCAAAUGAUUUGUGUCCCACAUUCUUCUGCUAUGGGAUCGAUCAAAUAUGCCAUGACAUGUACCAAAUCUGAUGACUCGUAUGCCUUGUGCAUGACAAGUUGGAUUAGUUAAAUUUUGGCAAGAAUCAAUGAAUUAAGAUCAAGAACAUUAUUAAGUGUCCUUGGAGGACAGAAGAUAUGAUCUUGAUAGUAUGGAAGAGAUCAUUGUAAGAGUUACAUUGAUGCUAAGUUCCAUACUAAUAAAGACGUUUCCAUUUACAGUCGAAUUUCGUGCUUUUCUAAAUGGUGAAGUUUUAGCUUGGAAGAGUACCAAGUAUUACACCAUAGUGGAUUUUGAAAACUUAGAGUAUGUUGCGGUUGGUUAAAUUGCAAAGAAGACAAUGUGGCUGAAAGAGAUUCAUUAGUGACAUCUUUGUUGAAAUUCAAUCAUUGAUGGUCCUUAUGAAGUCUCUUUGUGACUUUAAGGGUGAACUUACCUCGAGUAUGGAUCCCAAGUCACACAAGCUCACAUGACAUAUACUCAGUAUGUACCAUCACAUUUGAUAGUGAUUCAAAUGUGAAGAUAUCAUAGUCAAUAUGUCAUAUCGAAAAAUAAUCUUGUCGAUCCAUUCCAAAGCCAAUGUCACUGACCAAGUCUGACAGUCGGACAAAGUCUAGAGGCAUUAGAUUUGCAAAUGAAUUGGCUUAAACACUAUUAGUUUGGUUUGUUUUAAAACCCGAGAACUUUAAGCAGUAUAAGUUUUAAUUUGAUUUGGCGCUUAUUAAGUGGUGAUCUUGAUAUAUGAUGGAUUUCGGUAAUUUCAAUUAGCCUAUCACUGCGUUCUCACUUAUUCAUGUUUGGAACCCAUUUCCCGAGUAUUAAUUUACUUAAACGUCCACAGUCGAUCAUACUCUUGGAAGUAAGUAGUGAUUCAAGACUGUCAUGAAUAUUAGUGGAUUGUCCAUAUUAAUUGGACAUAGCAUAGAGAUUGCGCUAACACUCAUGAGUGCUUAAUAGAGAUUUAAGUAUUGGACCAACCCACGCUUAGAGAUUACUUCAUAGAUUCAGUCACGAGUAAUUCUAAGACGAUAAUAUCUUCUAUUCUUCAAACCUAGAUGCAUGUGGGGUUUUGCUCUAUGAUUUUGUUAUGUAUUGGUCUACUCCAACGCUAACCGUAACUGGUAGUUAUAAAGGGUAUGUUCAAGUAUGACAUGAUGAAAUGGACAAAAACUAUGUAGUCAAAGUUUAUUCGUUCCUUAUGCCUUAAUAGGAGAAGCGAUAUCUAUGAGCUCCUCGAUGAUUUGGUGCUGACAUCUAAAGAGCUUGGCCGAGCCUUGACUGGAAUUGAUGUGUUCAAUUUGUAGUCAGAUGCAGUCGUCACAAAUCUAUAUUGGGAAACAUAAUCUUGAAUUCUUGAGAUUGACAAUUAUCCAUGUCUCGAAUUCAUAUAGAUAUCAUAGAACGAAGGGAUAGUUGAUCACUUAUCUAAGGGAUAAAUCUUGAUUAAAUCAAGAGUUUGGUAGUUGCAUUGGAUGGAUAACGAUCUGUUGAUUAUUGGAGAAAUAUUGGCCCUCAUAUAGUUGAUGACUUGUCCAAGUAGGAGAUUGUUGGAAUAGUGUCCAAGGUCAUUAACUAUUGGUAAUAUUUCUAAUAAUAGCAGGGUCCUUCUAGGUUGCCCUCAAGACCCAAAUUGAGUAGAAUAAAUAAAGGAGAAAUUAGUUUAUUAAUUAUUAUGGUUAAUAAUUAAUUAGAAACUAAUUGGAAAUAUAUUUUGGGAAUUAAUUAACAGUUUAAUUAAUUAAAGGGUUGAAUGUUCAUUAAUCGAUAGUUGGUUAAUCAGGAAUGUUCCAAAACCCUUAUGGAAUUAGGGUUGAAUGAAAAUCACUCCAUCCCACAUGGGAAAGGAGUGAAAUUUCAUGGUUAGGCCUCCAUCCCACAUGGGAAGGAGUACUAAACCCUAGGAGGGAUCCAAAGCUAUAAAUAAGGCCUUAGGGAUUUCAUUCCUCCUUGCACCUUGGCUUGAAAUAUUCGCCAACCCUUCUUCCUACCCCUCUUAGGGAUGAUUUCUAACCCCUUUUAGUUUUUAAAAUUGACCCUUCUCCUAGUUAUUUUUAUUCCUCUCUUUGGUGUCAUUGGGUGUGAUACCAUUAGAGGGAUUCUGGUUUGGGUCCUUUCAUCCAAGCAAUUUCAUGGAGGUUCAUGAUCUCACUCAUGGAGAUCAAGGGCAUCAUAAGAGGUAUGUUUUCUUACUUAUGUUUUAGUUUUAUAGGGUUGAUGUAAUUAUGAUGAAGCCAUAGAUCCAUAGGAUGCAUGUACACUUAGGUAUAUCGUUGUUUCGAUUUUUCCGCUGCCUAGUUUUAGAGUGUAUUUGAUGCGUAGAACACCCAAAAAAAAUGACUUAUUUCAUUAAGUCAAAUCCACAAAUUCCCAGAUCUGAUCCUUAAGAAUGUCCUAAUAGAUAAACUGUCACACCCCCAAACCAGAACGGCGGAAACAUUCGGGGGCGGAUGACGUCAUGCUCAGUAUCAU